rnacentral:lncRNA from 1 species
CUUAUCUCCAUAGUUAGCGAAUAACCACUUAUUACUCUAGACUUGGAGGAGUAUUCACACCACUCCUGGUACUAAACAACCUUGCCUAGAUUUCCUUAAGUCAAGUGAGUUCACCAAGUGUUUUCAUUCUCUUCAGAAUUGCAAUAAAAAAUUUCUUACAAGUCGUUCAGACUAUUACUCUCGCAAAAAGGAUUAUUACAAUACAAUACAGUCUAAACACUCGCAAGUGUUUCUCUCUUUUCUCUUUCUCUCUUUCUUACAAUUAGUAAGCAAUUUUACAAUGAAGCUUUGGAGUAUUUCUUUUCUUCUUUUCUCUUCUUCUAUUUUUCUUGCUGAGAUAUAUUUUUUUCUGAAGCUCUUCCCGUGC